rnacentral:rRNA from 3 species
UGCGCGUCAACUUGUGAACUGCAGGACACAUGAACAUCGACAUUUCGAACGCACAUUGCGGUCCACGGAUACAAUUCCCGGACCACGCCUGGCUGAGGGUCGUU